rnacentral:rRNA from 1 species
UACGGGGGGGGCAAGCGUUGUUCGGAAUUACUGGGCGUAAAGGGCUCGUAGGUGGCUAUCUAAGUCAGAGGUGAAAUCCCUCGGCUUAACCGGGGAACUGCGUCUGAUACUGGAUGGCUUGAGUUUGGGAGAGGGAUGCGGAAUUCCAGGUGUAGCGGUGAAAUGCGUAGAUAUCUGGAGGAACACCGGUGGCGAAGGCGGCGACCUGGGACAAUACUGACGCUGAGGUGCGAAAGCGUGGGGAGCAAACAGG